ensembl:lncRNA
GUGUUCAGCUGUGAAUGUUCUGUCCGGCAAGACUGGAAAUUACACAGUGACUCUUCACGUGACUGAUCCAGUUGCGGUGCGUCCCAUCACAGUAACACCAGCUAUAGCAGACGGAUCCUAUUCCCUGCAGUGUGUUGGAGCACAGCAUCAAUCUAAUAUUCAGUGGACCAAGAAUGGGAAACCUCUGUCUACAAGUGACAGAGUCCAUCUUGCUGACAACAACGUUACCCUUUCAUUUGAUCCACUCCGUCCACCUGAUGCAGGCGUAUAUGAGUGUAUUGUCACUGAGCAAGGAAAAGUCAUCCCUGGAGUCUCCUAUGAGCUGAAGGUCAUCUAUGGGCCACUGACUCCUGUGUUAACUCAGUCUGGUAACAGACCAGUCGGACAGACAACAUUCCUUCCCCCAGGAACUACAGACACAUUUUUCUGCUCAGCUGAAUGCUACCCAGCUUGUACUUACGUGUGGUUUUUCAAUAGAGAAAUGGUUGCCACAAAUGGUUGCCACAGCUACUCUAUCAGCACAGCAAGUAUAGCUGAUGAGGGUGUUCUUGAAUGUGUGCCGUACAAUCCAGUUACCCAAAACUAUGCCGCUGUUCAGACGAACAUUGAAUUGACUGAUGGCCCAAAGAAUGUCACUAUCUCUGGGCCAAACUCACUACAGGUAGGACUGAAGUCCACUUUUGAGUGCUCAGCUGUCUGCUCCCCACCUUGUGUCUACACAUGGGAGCUCUAUGGGAAAACACUGCAAGGCAGUAAGGUGGAGCUCACCAUCAGCCACUAUGUGGCCACUGAAACCCUGAUAUGCAUAGCAGUGAAUGCCGUCACUGGAAAUCUCGCUGCAGCAAAUGAAACACUUGAUGUCACAGAUCCUGACUGGUGUGGAUGUUAAAUGCAUUACCAGAUUGAAUGUCUACAUAUAUACAAUUUCAGUAGUGUGUGUUCCUUGAUUGCUUCCUUGAUGUCUCCAUCUGAACAAAUACCUUUGAACGCGGAGAGGAAGGACUAAAAAGAAAACUAAAAACGUAUCUCUUUACCUUAGCCUUUAACUAGCUACGACUUUGCACUAUAUAUAUACAUAUUUUUUUUUAUGUGUUUUACUUUGAUCUUCAUAGUGAUGUAACAUGAUAUUAAGGGGUUAGAUAAACUAUAUCUAUGUCUUAUUCUCUAUCUUAUGUUAUGCAUUUUAUGUAUUCUGUUUUAUCUUAGAUCUUUAUGCACUCUAUCCCUGUUUUUAUGUUUUAUGUUUUAUGUUUAUUUUAUGUAUAUUUUUAUGUGGAUCACUGUGCAUGUAAUUUCCUUUUGCACGU